rnacentral:rRNA from 1 species
AACGAACGCUGGCGGCAGGCCUAACACAUGCAAGUCGAGCGAGGACUUCGGUCCUAGCGGCGGACGGGUGAGUAACGCGUGGGAACGUGCCCUUUGCUACGGAAUAGCCCUGGGAAACUGGGAGUAAUACCGUAUGUGCCCUUCGGGGGAAAGAUUUAUCGGCAAAGGAUCGGCCCGCGUUGGAUUAGGUAGUUGGUGGGGUAAUGGCCUACCAAGCCGACGAUCCAUAGCUGGUUUGAGAGGAUGAUCAACCACACUGGGACUGAGACACGGCCCAGACUCCUACGGGAGGCAGCAGUGGGGAAUCUUAGACAAUGGGCGCAAGCCUGAUCUAGCCAUGCCGCGUGAGCGAUGAAGGCCUUAGGGUUGUAAAGCUCUUUCAGUGGGGAAGAUAAUGACGGUACCCACAGAAGAAGCCCCGGCUAACUCCGUGCCAGCAGCCGCCGUAACAC